GACGUAGGGCGCGAGCGUUGUCCGGAUUUAUUGGGCGUAAAGAGCUCGUAGGCGGCUUGUCGCGUCGUCCGUGAAAACCUGCAGCUCAACUGCAGGCUUGCGGUCGAUACGGGCAGGCUAGAGUUCGGUAGGGGGAGACUGGAAUUCCUGGUGUAGCGGUGAAAUGCGCAGAUAUCAGGAGGAACACCGGUGGCGAAGGCGGUUCUCUGGGCAUGUCCUGACGUGAGGAGCGAAAGUGUGGGGAGCGAACAGG
rnacentral:rRNA from 1 species